rnacentral:rRNA from 1 species
GCCGAACGCUGGCGGCGUGCUUAACACAUGCAAGUCGAACGAAGUGGCGAACGGGUGAGUAAUCCGUGGGUAACCUGCCCUCCUUUUUGGGAUAAGCCUUGGAAACGGGGGCUAAUACCGACUAAAGGGGGCUGGGCUCGCGGACUAUCAGCUUGUUGGUGGGGUGAUGGCCUACCAAGGCGGUGACGGGUAGCCGGUCUUGGCGGGUGACCAGCCACAUUGGGGCUAGGCUAAGGCCCAGACUCCUACGGGAGGCAGCCGUGGGGGAUAUUGCACAAUGGGCGGAAGCCUGAUGCAGCGACGCCGCGUGGGGGAUGAAGGCUUACGGGUUGUAAAGUACUUUCAGUCGGGAGGCGUUACCGACAGAAGAAGCGCCGGCUAACGCCGUGCCAGCAGCCGCGGUAAUAC